rnacentral:rRNA from 1 species
AGGACGAACGCUGGCGGCGUGCUUAACACAUGCAAGUCGAGCGGAAAGGCCCUUCGGGGUACUCGAGCGGCGAACGGGUGAGUAACACGUGAGCAACCUGCCCCUGGCUCUGGGAUAGCCUCCGGAAACGGGGAUUAAUACCGGACAUUCUCCGCCUUCCGCAUGGUUGGCGGUGGAAAGUUUUUUCGGCCGGGAGGGCUCGCGGCCUAUCAGCUUGUUGGCGGGGUAACGGCCCACCAAGGCGACGACGGGUAGCC